rnacentral:tRNA from 1 species
GCGCACGUGGCUCAAAAGGGUAGAGCACUGGCCCCAUAUGCCGGAGGUGGUGGGUUCAAACCCAGCUUGGGCC